rnacentral:rRNA from 1 species
UUCCGGUUGAUCCUGCCGGAGGCUACCGCUAUUGGAGUUCGAUUAAGCCAUGCGAGUCGAGAGUCUUAGGGACUCGGCGUACCGCUCAGUAACACGUGGGUAACCUGCCCCAUGCUGGGGAAUAACCUCGGGAAACUGAGAAUAAUACCCCAUAGUUCACCACGCCUGGAACGGUGGGUGGAUGAAAGCUCCGGCGGCAUAGGAUGGGCCUGCGACGUAUCAGGUUGUAGGGGGUGUAACGUACCCUCUAGCCAUCAACGCGUACGGGUGUUGGGAGACAUAGCCCGGAGAUGGAUUCUGAGACACGAAUCCAGACCCUACGGGGUGCAGCAGGCGCGAAAACUUGGCAAUGCGAGCAAUCGUGACCAGGGAACUCCAAGUGGUUGGGGUAAUACCCAGUUUUUUCUUGACUCUUCAAAGGUCUUGGAAUAAGGGGUGGGUAAGGACGGUGCCAGCCGCCGCGGUAAUACCGGCGCCUCAAGUGGUAGUCGCUUUUAUUGGGCCUAAAACGUCCGUAGCCGGUCUGGUGCAUUCGUGGGUAAAUCAACCCGCUCAACGGGUUGAAUUCUGCGAGCACGGCCAGACUUGGGACCGGGAGAGGUGUGGGGUACUCUCAGGGUAGGGGUAAAAUCCUGUCAUCCUGAGAGGACCACCUGUUGCGAAGGCGC